AACGCACAUUGCGCCCGCCAGUAUUCUGGCGGGCAUGCCUGUUCGAGCGUCAUUUCAACCCUCAGGUCCCCCUUUUCGGAGGGGGAGACACCCUGGUGUUGGGGGACGGCAUCCUGGCCCGCUGUCUCACAGUGUGCCACGCCGCCCCCGAAAUGAAUUGGCGGCCUCGUCGCGUGCCACCCCUGCGUAGUAGCACAACCUCGCAACGGGAGCCCGACGCGGCCACUGCCGUAAAACGCCCAACUUUUACCGAGUUGACCUCGAAUCAGGUAGGAAUACCCGCUGAACUUAA
rnacentral:misc_RNA from 2 species